GAUGAAGAACGCAGCGAAAUGCGAUAAGUAGUGUGAAUUGCAGAAUUCAGUGAAUCAUCGAAUCUUUGAACGCACAUUGCGCCCUUUGGUAUUCCUAGGGCAUGCCUGUUCGAGCGUCAUUUAAACCUUCAAGCUCAGCUUGGUGUUGGGUGACUGUCCGCCGCCUCCGGGCGCGUGGACUCGCCUCAAAAUUAUUGGCGGCCGGUACAUUGGCUUCGAGCGCAGCAGAAACGCGAACUCGGGCCCGUCGUAUUGGCUCCCAGAAGCUAUCUUCACAAUUUUGACCUCGGAUCAGGUAGGGAUACCCGCUGAACUUAAGCAUAUCAAUAAGCGGGGGA
rnacentral:misc_RNA from 1 species